rnacentral:rRNA from 1 species
UACGUAGGGUGCGAGCGUUAAUCGGAAUUACUGGGCGUAAAGCGUGCGCAGGCGGUUUUGUAAGUCAGAUGUGAAAUCCCCGGGCUUAACCUGGGAACUGCGUUUGAAACUACAAGGCUAGAGUGUGACAGAGGGGGGUGGAAUUCCACGUGUAGCAGUGAAAUGCGUAGAGAUGUGGAGGAACACCGAUGGCGAAGGCAGCCCCCUGGGUUAACACUGACGCUCAGGCUCGAAAGCGUGGGGAGCAAACAGG